CCCGCAACGAGCGCAACCCUUAUCCUUUGUUGCCAGCGAUUCGGUCGGGAACUCAAAGGAGACUGCCGGUGAUAAACCGGAGGAAGGUGGGGAUGACGUCAAGUCAUCAUGGCCCUUACGGCCAGGGCUACACACGUGCUACAAUGGCGUAUACAAAGAGAAGCGAACUCGCGAGAGCAAGCGGACCUCAUAAAGUACGUCGUAGUCCGGAUCGGAGUCUGCAACUCGACUCCGUGAAGUCGGAAUCGCUAGUAAUCGUGGAUCAGAAUGCCACGGUGAAUACGUU
rnacentral:rRNA from 1 species